rnacentral:rRNA from 1 species
UGGGGAAUAUUGCACAAUGGGCGCAAGCCUGAUGCAGCCAUGCCGCGUGUAUGAAGAAGGCCUUCGGGUUGUAAAGUACUUUCAGCGGGGAGGAAGGGAGUAAAGUUAAUACCUUUGCUCAUUGACGUUACCCGCAGAAGAAGCACCGGCUAACUCCGUGCCAGCAGCCGCGGUAAUACGGAGGGUGCAAGCGUUAAUCGGAAUUACUGGGCGUAAAGCGCACGCAGGCGGUUUGUUAAGUCAGAUGUGAAAUCCCCGGGCUCAACCUGGGAACUGCAUCUGAUACUGGCAAGCUUGAGUCUCGUAGAGGGGGGUAGAAUUCCAGGUGUAGCGGUGAAAUGCGUAGAGAUCUGGAGGAAUACCGGUGGCGAAGGCGGCCCCCUGGACGAAGACUGACGCUCAGGUGCGAAAGCGUGGGUAGCGAACAGG